UGAGGAAUAUUGGUCAAUGGGCGAUGGCCUGAACCAGCCAAGUAGCGUGAAGGAUGACUGCCCUAUGGGUUGUAAACUUCUUUUAUAAAGGAAUAAAGUCGGGUAUGCAUACCCGUUUGCAUGUACUUUAUGAAUAAGGAUCGGCUAACUCCGUGCCAGCAGCCGCGGUAAUACGGAGGAUCCGAGCGUUAUCCGGAUUUAUUGGGUUUAAAGGGAGCGUAGAUGGAUGUUUAAGUCAGUUGUGAAAGUUUGCGGCUCAACCGUAAAAUUGCAGUUGAUACUGGAUGUCUUGAGUGCAGUUGAGGCAGGCGGAAUUCGUGGUGUAGCGGUGAAAUGCUUAGAUAUCACGAAGAACUCCGAUUGCGAAGGCAGCCUGCUAAGCUGCAACUGACAUUGAGGCUCGAAAGUGUGGGUAUCAAAC
rnacentral:rRNA from 1 species